ACAAGAUGGAGGAGUGACAAUUGUCCUGAAACUCAGGCAGGAGGCACCCGUCGCCCUCAGUGCUGCCUGUGGCCAGCCUCAGUCAGUGGAGGGUGGUUGGGACCUCUCUCUGUCUUGUAAGCAGCGGUCACAGGCAAGAAAGUCCAGGACAAAACUGUGUUUCUUGUUAAUGUGUCUUUCCAGGUGACAAAUGGGAAAAAAUGCACUGAGAAACCUGACCCACAACAGGGGGACCAGCUGUUGAACUGCAGAAAGGAAACUGAGAGCAGUGUUUCUGGGACUUACCAUUUCUGAGGCCUCUCCUUGUGAACUCUAGCUCAUCUCCAGGAAACCAGAGAUGGGAGCAGCUUCAUCACAAACUAGUAACGACUGAUGGCUCGAAUAAUGGCCUUUUCAGGAAGCCUUGAAAAGCUCUGUGAGCAAUGACAGCACAGGGGGGAGAGAGCCCAAAAGAAAGCUUCACUUUGCUUUGAGAAAGAAAUUUUUGGAGUCCAGCAACCAGAAGAAGUGAGCGAGAGGGAACAGAGAAUAGGCAGAAGCUUCAUAGGAAAAUCUCCCUUAUUUGCUGCAGCAGCAAAAUCCACCACCAUCAACAGGUCCCACCUACAGGCACUUCUCCAUCUCCUUCCUGAAGUUUCAUUUCAUGGCCAUGUAUCUACUGAUUGCUACCAGAGUGCAGCAGCCACUUGGGAGAUUGCAAACUUCCCACUGUGCCAGGGAAGUUGGCAGGCUGCUCAGGGUUGUUAUGAGGAAAUGCUAUGGACAAACUUAGGGGUGACACUGACUUUGCCUGGAGUAAUGCAAAGAAAAGUAACAAUAUCUGUUACAUUAAACACCUUCAUUCUGUAAACCACUGGAAAUAAAAAGUUAAUAAAUACAAGAAAGGAGGUCAAUUAA